rnacentral:rRNA from 1 species
GACGAACGCUGGCGGCGUGCUUAACACAUGCAAGUCGAACGGAAAGGCCCUGCUUUUGUGGGGUGCUCGAGUGGCGAACGGGUGAGUAACACGUGAGUAACCUGCCCUUGACUUUGGGAUAACUUCAGGAAACUGGGGCUAAUACCUGAUAGGAGCUCCUGCUGCAUGGUGGGGGUUGGAAAGUUUCGGCGGUUGGGGAUGGACUCGCGGCUUAUCAGCUUGUUGGUGGGGUAGUGGCUUACCAAGGCUUUGACUGGUAGCCGGCCUGAGAGGGUGACCGGCCACAUUGGGACUGGGAUACGGCCCAGACUCCUACGGGAGGCAGCAGUGGGGAAUAUUGCACAAUGGGCGGAAGCCUGAUGCAGCAACUCCGCGUGCGGGAUGACGGCCUUCGGGUUGUAAACCGCUUUCGCCUGUGACGAAGCGUGAGUGACGGUACUGGGUAAAGAAGCACCGGCUAAGUACGUG